UACGAAGGGUGCAAGCGUUACUCGGAAUUAUUGGGCGUAAAGAGCUCGUAGGCGGUGUGUCGCGUCGGCCGUGAAAACCUGCAGCUUAACUGUGGGCUUGCGGUCGAUACGGGCAUCACUGGAGUUCGGCAGGGGAGACUGGAAUUCCUGGUGUAGCGGUGAAGUGCGCAGAUAUCAGGAGGAACACCGGUGGCGCAGGCGGGUCUCUGGGCCGAUACUGACGCUGAGGAGCGAAAGCGUGGGGAGCGAACAGG
rnacentral:rRNA from 1 species